CGGAACGUGCCCAGUAGCGGGGGAUAACUACGCGAAAGCGUAGCUAAUACCGCAUACGCCCUACGGGGGAAAGCAGGGGAUCGCAAGACCUUGCACUAUUGGAGCGGCCGAUAUCGGAUUAGCUAGUUGGUGGGGUAACGGCUCACCAAGGCGACGAUCCGUAGCUGGUUUGAGAGGACGACCAGCCACACUGGGACUGAGACACGGCCCAGACUCCUACGGGAGGCAGCAGUGGGGAAUUUUGGACAAUGGGGGAAACCCUGAUCCAGCCAUCCCGCGUGUGCGAUGAAGGCCUUCGGGUUGUAAAGCACUUUUGGCAGGAAAGAAACGUCGCGGGUUAAUACCUCGCGAAACUGACGGUACCUGCAGAAUAAGCACCGGCUAACUACGUGCCAGCAGCCGCGGUAAUACGUAGGGUGCAAGCGUUAAUCGGAAUUACUGGGCGUAAAGCGUGCGCAGGCGGUUCGGAAAGAAAGAUGUGAAAUCCCAGAGCUUAACUU
rnacentral:rRNA from 1 species